GCGCACGUGGUGAAAUUGGUAGACACGCCAUCUUGAGGGGGUGGUGCCUUACAGGUGUGGAAGUUCGAAUCUUCUCGUGCGCA
rnacentral:tRNA from 1 species